GUCAAGUUGAUUGUUUUUACAAGACAGACUAGGGGCUUGGAGAGAGAAACAAGAUCAUUUACAGCAAAGGCUGAGCCUCUAAAACGUUCAAUGUGGAUUUAGACUUAUUUGUUCCCCACUUAUUCACUGACUAAAUAGCCUCUUGGUUCAUUAGUUUUAAGUACUACAGCUAAAUCAUUCACAUUUCACAGAAAAUGUAAUGAGUAUGAUUUAAAAUGUCACCCAAAUAAAGAAAUGUAAAAAUAUCACCACCACUCUCUGAGUCCUCUUUAUUGCUUUCCCCAAUUCAACUACUAGUUUACUACCUUUCCACUUUCUCUGCAUUUCCCUAAAAAAUGGAAUUGAGGCAAACAUUUUUAAGGAUCAUUGGGUUAAAUUCCAUACACUUAAGGAAAAGGUUGCCACCCUCUUCAGAAAACACCUCCUUGUGCCACUAUGUGACAAGGCAUCAAAUAUUUUAAUACAAUUGCUAAGAAGACAGUAGUCUUGGGCCUGGCACAGUGGUUCAUGCCUGUAAUCCCAGCAUUUUGGGAGGCCGAGGUGGGUGCAUCACUUGAGCUCAGGAGUUCGAGACCAGCCUCGGCAAAAAAGUGAAACCCCAUCUCUACAAAAAAAAACAAAACAAUUAGCCAGGCAUGGUGGUGCAUGCCUGAAAUCCCAGCAACUCAGGAGGCUAAUGUGGGAGGAUGGCUUAAGCCCGGGAGGCAGAGGU
rnacentral:lncRNA from 1 species